UUUCUAUCUCAUAUCCCCAUCUCGUCUAAAGAUUGCUAGAGAAUCUGAGAAAGUGUGUAUCCAUCUCUGUCAAAACUAGAUUGCUAGAAGCUUCUGCUUUCUUCAUUUCAAUUAUUAGCAAUCCAACUUUCAAGUUUCUAAUAUUUCAAAAUUGUUUUUUUGUUGCUUGGUCUAUCUAGAAAUUUCUUCUGUUCUUCGUGUCCUUUCUCAUUUUAAAAGGUAAUUUGUUUAGAUUGUCACUUUAUGAUGAUUCUGUUGGUUAUGAACUUAUGAUUCUAUCUCUGUCAUUUCAUUGUUAGCUCUCCCAUCAAUGGCAGAAAGGAUUUGGCAGCAUAGAAAUUGAAACUCACGGCAGAAAACAGAGAAAAUCAAUCAUUUGAAAUUUUGAAUUCGUAAUGACAGAGUGUUGACUGAAUGGAAUGGGUUCGCUGGAAUUUGGCAUUUAGAACGUCUCCUAGCUUUUUAAGACGCAGUUGUCUCGCCAUCUGGGACUUGCGAUCCGGAACGCGGAACCUAGAGAAUGUGAACGAAUCUGGUAACUAUGAUCCAGACAAAAGUGUGCAUUUGAGACAAGUAACAACCCUUUGUCGGUCUACUAAAAAACUAUGAAUGAUGAUAAUGAUAACAUUGUAACAUUAACACUGUUGGAGCGAAUCUAAUACCGUUAUUUGAACAUA